rnacentral:rRNA from 1 species
UACGUAGGGUGCGAGCGUUGUCCGGAUUUAUUGGGCGUAAAGAGCUCGUAGGUGGUUUGUCGCGUCGGCCGUGAAAUCUCCACGCUUAACGUGGAGCGUGCGGUCGAUACGGGCAGACUUGAGUUCGGUAGGGGAGACUGGAAUUCCUGGUGUAGCGGUGAAAUGCGCAGAUAUCAGGAGGAACACCGGUGGCGAAGGCGGGUCUCUGGGCCGAUACUGACGCUGAGGAGCGAAAGCGUGGGGAGCGAACAGG